CUACGGGGCGCACCAGUGAGGAAUAUUGGUCAAUGGCCGAGAGGCUGAACCAGCCAUCCCGCGUACAGGAUGACGGCCCUAUGGGUUGUAAACUGCUUUUCUACGCCAAGAAAUCUGAUUACGUGUAAUUAGUUGACGGUAGCGUAGGAAUAAGCAUCGGCUAACUCCGUGCCAGCAGCCGCGGUAAUACGGAGGAUGCAAGCGUUAUCCGGAGUCAUUGGGUUUAAAGGGUGCGCAGGCGGGCUUGUAAGUCAGUGGUGAAAUACUGCCGCUUAACGGUAGAACUGCCAUUGAUACUGCAAGUCUUGAAUAUGGUUGAGGUAGGCGGAAUGUGUUGUGUAGCGGUGAAAUGCAUAGAUAUGACACAGAACGCCGAUUGCGAAGGCAGCUUACUAAGCCAUUAUUGACGCUGAGGCACGAAAGCGUGGGGAGCGAACAGGAUUAGAUACCCUCGUAGUC
rnacentral:rRNA from 1 species